UACAGAGGAUGCAAGCGUUAUCCGGAAUGAUUGGGCGUAAAGCGUCUGUAGGUGGCUUUUUAAGUCCGCCGUCAAAUCCCAGGGCUCAACUCUGGACAGGCGGUGGAAACUACCAAGCUGGAGUACGGUAGGGGCAGAGGGAAUUUCCGGUGGAGCGGUGGAAUGCGCAGAUAUCAGGAGGAACACCGGUGGCGAAGGCGGGUCUCUGGGCCGUUACUGACGCUGAGGAGCGAAAGCGUGGGGAGCGAACAGG
rnacentral:rRNA from 1 species